AUUCUGGUGAACCGGAUUACAUGCGAAUAAUUCGUUCAAUUUGAAACCUAAUUGCGCGUGGAAAGCCCAUUUUAUGUGUUUUUCAGCCUUAGGUUCUUACACCUUAGCUUCUUUUUUCCCGUGAGAGUAAACUGGCUCUGAGUCGAGUGAUAGCAGAAAGCCACGGGAAUCCGAGACCUUUCUACUCGUCAUCUCGUACAACAACUCUAACCACAGCUACCAAUUGCUUUAUUCGAAGACCCUGCACUGCUGCUGCUACUCUUUUGAAGAAAUCUGUUGUUGCUACUACUCUAUUUUGGAGACUUUGCACCGCUUCUUCUCUACUUUUCUCACAUUAAACCCUAACUCUGGACGUCCGUUAGAGGAUUCCCAUUCAAGUUCUAUGCUCCAAACACUAGGGAUACAUUAUACCAAGGACUGCCACCUAGCAUAAAUUUGGCCUUACGCUCCAAAUUACAGUCGUUUCAGCUUAAAUAAAUAGCUCAUUGUUCCUCAAAUGAAAGUUGAGAUGGUGAAAACUUGACAGUGGCUUGUUCCGAUUGCCGCUAACACAACGAAUCAAGUAUGCAUGACAAGAGAAAUCAAAACUGGGAAAAUUGUUGCUUUGAAAAACAUUCGAAUGGACAAUGAAAGAGAAGGGGUAUGCUCUGUGUUCUUCACUAUGUUGAUUGUGUGUGUAUACAUACAUAUUGUUCUCUAUGAAUUCAUUUGAGAAGUCUUGCAGAUCGUCUUGAGAUAUUUUUGAUUUCUUAGAUCAAGGAAUCGUAGUCCAUGUGGCUAUUGUGUCAAUUUAUUCUAGUAUAUAUACAUAAUUAUAUACUGUUUUGUUGUUGGUAAGAUCUGUUCAAGAUGAUUCUGUAUGUGAUAUGUUUCAACAAAAAGAGUUUAAUCGGACAUUUUAAUGAUAGCCAGAAAUUCAGAUUACAUCAGUGUUUGCAGAUUCUCCGGAUCCUCAUAGGAGUAAAGUCUUUUUGCUUCUCUACUAUGGAGUUGUCUUCUAUAUAGGAGGAGCAAGUACUAAACCAAUCAUUGUGUUUCUAUUUUCUAUGUGAAGAGUACGUUCUUUUUAGCAGAACAGAUAUGUGUUGGAAGCAUAGGUAAGGGCAAGGAUCCAAUAAGAAAGUUUGGAGGAAGGAAGUUGUUGCUAAGGAGAUUUUGUUCUUUGAUCAUGGAUUGGGUGUAUAAACGUAUUUGGAUUAUAUUUUUAGAAUAAAUUAUCUGAAAUAUUAGUUUUAUUUGUCAUUUUCUUUGAUAAUUAUGGAAAUAUUAAAUUUGUUUA